rnacentral:rRNA from 1 species
UACGUAGGGUGCAAGCGUUAUCCGGAAUCAUUGGGCGUAAAGAGUUCGUAGGUGGCUUGGAAAGUUUUUAGUUAAAUCUGGUCGCUCAACGAUCAACCCGCUAAAAAUACUCUCAAGCUUGAGAUUGACAGAGGUAACUGGAAUUCCACAUGUAGGGGUAAAAUCCGUUGAUAUGUGGAGGAACACCAAAAGCGAAGGCAGGUUACUGGGUCAUUUCUGACACUGAGGAACGAAAGCGUGGGGAGCAAACAGG